UACGUAGGGUGCGAGCGUUGUCCGGAAUUAUUGGGCGUAAAGAGCUCGUAGGCGGUCUGUCGCGUCUGCUGUGAAAACUCAGGGCUUAACCCUGAGCUUGCAGUGGGUACGGGCAGACUAGAGUGCGGUAGGGGAGGCUGGAAUUCCUGGUGUAGCGGUGAAAUGCGCAGAUAUCAGGAGGAACACCGGUGGCGAAGGCGGUUCUCUGGGCAUUACCUGACGCUGAGGAGCGAAAGCCAGGGGAGCAAACGGGG
rnacentral:rRNA from 1 species